GACGAACGCUGGCGGCGUGCUUAACACAUGCAAGUCGAACGGUGAAGCUCCAGCUUUCUGGAGUGGAUCAGUGGCGAACGGGUGAGUAACACGUGAGCAACCUGCCCCUGUCUCUGGGAUAAGCGCUGGAAACGGCGUCUAAUACUGGAUACGAGAAGGGCCCGCAUGGGCACUUUCUGGAAAGUUUUUCGGUUGGGGAUGGGCUCGCGGCCUAUCAGCUUGUUUGUGAAGUAUUGGCUCACGAAGGGGACGACGGGUAGGCGGCCUGAGAGGGCGACCAGGCACACGGGGACUGAGACACGGCCCAGUCUCCUACGGGAGGCAGCAGUGGGGAAUAUUGCACAAUGGGCGAAAGCCUGAUGCAGCGACGCCGCGUGAGGGAUGACGGCCUUCGGGUUGUAAACCUCUUUCAGCAGGGAAGAAGCGAAAGUGACGGUACCUGCAGAAGAAGCACCGGCUAACUACGUG
rnacentral:rRNA from 1 species